UGUCCCAGAACAUCUCCAGGGGGUUUGGGGUGUCCCAGAACAUCUCCAGGGGGUUUUGGGGUGUCCCAGAACAUCUCCAGAGGGUUUGGGGGUGUCCCAGAACAUCUCCAGAGGGUUUGGGGUGUCCUAAAACAUCUCCAGGGGGUUUGGGGUGUCCCAAAACAUCUCCAGGGGGUUGGGGGUGUCCUAAAACAUCUCCAGAGGGUUUUGAGGUGUCCCAGAGCAUCUCCAGAGGGUUUUGAGGUGUCCCAGAACAUCUCCAGAGGGUUUUGAGGUGUCCCAGAACAUCUCCAGGGGGUUUGGGGGUCUCACAUUGGUGGGUCCUGGGUGAUCUGAGAAGGUUCCAAGACUUUGGGGUGUCCAGGGUGGCAUUUGUCCCCAUUUGUCCCUGUUUGUCCCUGUUUGUCCCCGUUUGUCCCCAAGGGAUGGAGGUGGCCCCAUGGACAACAUCUCCAGAGGGUUUGGGGGAUGUCCCAAAACAUCUCCAGAGGGUUUGGGGGUGUCCCAGAACAUCUCCAGGGGGUUUGGGGUGUCCCAGAACAUCUCCAGAUGGUUUUGGGGUGUCUCACUUUGUUGGGUUCUGGGUGACCUGAGAGGGUUCCAAGAGUUUGGGAUGUCCAGGGUGGCUUUGUCCCCAUUUGUCCCUGUUUGUCCCCAGGGGAUGGAGGUGGUCCCAUGGAUGACAUCUCCAGAGGGUUUGGGGUGUCCCAAAACAUCUCCAGAGGGGUUUGGGGUGUCCCAGAACAUCUCCAGAGGGUUUGGGGGUCUCACAUUGGUGGGUCCUGGGUGAUCUGAGAAGGUUCCAAGACUUUGGGAUGUCCAGGGUGGCAUUUGUCCCCAUUUGUCCCUGUUUGUCCCUGUUUGUCCCCAUUUGUCCCCAAGGGAUGGAGGUGGCCCCAUGGAUGACAUCUCCAGAGGGUUUUGGGGUGUCCCAAAACAUCUCCAGGGUGUUUUGGGGUGUCCCAAAACAUCUCCAGAGGGUUUUUGGGUGUCCCAGAACAUCUCCAGAGGGUUUGGGGGUGUCCUAAAACAUCUCCAGGGGGUUUGGGGGUGUCCCAGAACAUCUCCAGAUGGUUUUGGGGUGUCUCACUUUGGUGGGUUCUGGGUAACUUCAGAGGGUUCCAAGAGUUUGGGGUGUCCAGGGUGGCUUUGUCCCCAUUUGUCCCUGUUUGUCCCCAAGGGAUGGAGGUGGCCCCAUGGACAUCUCCAG
rnacentral:lncRNA from 1 species